rnacentral:rRNA from 1 species
AGAGUUUGAUCCUGGCUCAGGACGAACGCUGGCGGCGUGCUUAACACAUGCAAGUCGUACGAGGUUAUCGAGGUGCUUGCACUUCGGUGCCUAGUGGCGAACGGGUGCGUAACACGUGAGCAACCUGCCCUCCGGCGGGGGAUAGCCGGCCUAACGGCCGGGUAAUACCGCGUACGACCUCGGGUUCGCAUGGACCUGAGGUGAAAGCGGCCGCAAGGUCGCGCCGGUGGAGGGGCUCGCGGCCUAUCAGCUUGUUGGUGAGGUAACGGCUCACCAAGGCUACGACGGGUAGCUGGUCUGAGAGGAUGGCCAGCCACAUUGGGACUGAGAUACGGCCCAGACUCCUACGGGAGGCAGCAGUGGGGAAUAUUGCGCAAUGGCCGCAAGG